UGAACUUGCCUCUUCUGCUCUCCCUUG
rnacentral:piRNA from 1 species